rnacentral:rRNA from 1 species
CACGCCGUAAACGANGAGUGCUAGGUGUUAGGCCCUUUCCGGGGCUUAGUGCCGGAGCUAACGCAAUAAGCACUCCGCCUGGGGAGUACGACCGCAAGGUUGAAACUCAAAGGAAUUGACGGGGGCCCGCACAAGCGGUGGAGCAUGUGGUUUAAUUCGAAGCAACGCGAAGAACCUUACCAGGUCUUGACAUCCCGAUGCUAUUCUUAGAGAUAGGAAGUUACUUCGGUACAUCGGAGACAGGUGGUGCAUGGUUGUCGUCGGCUCGUGUCGUGAGAUGUUGGGUUAAGUCCCGCAACGAGCGCAACCCUUAUUGUUAGUUGCCAUCAUUAAGUUGGGCACUCUAGCGAGACUGCCGGUAAUAAACCGGAGGAAGGUGGGGAUGACGUCAAAUCAUCAUGCCCCUUAUGACCUGGGCUGCACACGUGCUACAAUGGUCGGUACAACGAGUUGCGAGCCGGUGACGGCAAGCUAAUCUCUGAAAGCCGAUCUCAGUUCGGAUUGGAGGCUGCAACUCGCCUCCAUGAAGUCGGAAUCGCUAGUAAUCGCGGAUCAGCACGCCGCGGUGAAUACGUUCCCGGGCCUUGUACACACCGCCCGUCACACCACGAGAGUUUGUAACACCCGAAGUCGGUGAGGUAACCUUUUAGGGGC